CCGAGUUUCAACUCCCAAACCCCUGUGAACAUACCUUUUUGUUGCCUCGGCGGGAGGCCCCGGGGGACGGCUUCGGCCGCCCUCCCGGAUCCCAUGGCUGCCCGCCGGAGGACCCAAACCUCUGUUUUAGAAUUAAAUCUUCUUCUGAGUACCUAGGCGAAAGCCGAAAAUAAAUCAAAACUUUCAACAACGGAUCUCUUGGCUCUGGCAUCGAUGAAGAACGCAGCGAAAUGCGAUAAGUAAUGUGAAUUGCAGAAUUCAGUGAAUCAUCGAAUCUUUGAACGCACAUUGCGCCCGCUAGUAUUCUGGCGGGCAUGCCUGUUCGAGCGUCAUUUCAACCCUCAUGCCCCCUGUGGGCGUGGUGUUGGGGAUCAGGAACCCGCCCCCCUCGGGAGGCGGCUCUGUCCCCUAAAUCUAGUGGCGGUCUCGCUGUAGCUUCCUCUGCGUAGUAGCACACCUCGCACCGGAAAGCAGCGCGGCCACGCCGUUAAACCCCCAACUUUUCAAGGUUGACCUCGAAUCAGGUAGGAAUACCCGCUGAACUUAAGC
rnacentral:rRNA from 1 species